rnacentral:tmRNA from 1 species
CCUCUUUCUUCUGAUUGCCGAACCCAUUAUAUUUAACGGGUCGGGCAACCGACUAUGGCGAUAAACGCUUUACGGAAUAAGCGUUGCGGACCCGGGGGCAGUACCCGGCGCCUCCACCAAACCCCUCGCGGGCAGCGGCUGCCGGCUUGGACCAAUGGGGGCGAACCAGGAUCGACGUGCGUGGUAAAGGUAUUGUUUUCGCUCGGCAUGGUACCGCCGUUAUCGGGCCAUUUUUACAAAUGCCAAUGAUAACGAGGCGUUUGCUGUAGCCGCUUAGUCGGUUACGGGGUUCGGGGGGCACCUGGCAACAGAAGCCCCCCACU